rnacentral:misc_RNA from 1 species
GAUGAAGAACGUAGCGAAAUGCGAUAAGUAGUGUGAAUUGCAGAAUUCAGUGAAUCAUCGAAUCUUUGAACGCACAUUGCGCCCUUGGUAUUCCAUGGGGCAUGCCUGUUCGAGCGUCAUUUGUACCUUCAAGCUCUGCUUGGUGUUGGGUGAUUGUCUAUCUUUAUAGACUCGCCUUAAAGUCAUUGGCAGCCGGCAUAUUGGCCUGGGAGCGCAGCACAAGUCGCGCUUCUUGUCAUGAAUGUUGGCGUCCAGUAAGUCUACAUAUUUUGCUCUUGACCUCGGAUCAGGUAGGGAUACCCGCUGAACUUAAGCAUAUCAAUAAGCGGAGGA